rnacentral:rRNA from 1 species
GACGACCGCUGGCGGCGUGCUUAACACAUGCACGUCGAACGGAAAGGCCCUGCUUUUGUGGGGUGCUCGAGUGGCGAACGGGUGAGUUACCCGUGAGUAACUUGCCCUUGACUUCGGGAUAACUUCAGGAAACUGGGGCUAAUAACGGGUAGGAGCUCCUGCUGCAUGGUGGGGGUUGGAAAGUUUAGGCGGUUGGGGAUGGACUCGCGGCUUAUCAGCUUGUUGGUGGGGUAGUGGCCUACCAAGGCUUUGACGGGUAGCCGGCCUGAGGGGGUGACCGGCCACAUUGGGACUGGGAUACGGCCCAGACUCCUCCGGGAGGCAGCAGUGGGGAAUAUUGCACAAUGGGCGGAAGCCUGAUGCAGCAACGCCGCGUGCGGGAUGACGGCCUUCGGGUUGUAAACCGCUUGCGCCUGUGACGAAGCGUGAGUGACGGUAAUGGGUAAAGAAGCACCGGCUAACUACGUG